CUCACACUGGAAUCUACACCAUCAGCUCUGGCCUUCAAACUACACCACUGGCCUUUCCUGGGCCUCUAGCUUGUGGAUGAUCGACAGUGGGACUUCUCAGCCUCUAUAAUCAUUUAGUGCCAUCUGAAGAUUUCUGUAUUGAAGAUUUUCCCAUCAAGUGGACAUAGACUCAGGAAUUUCAGCUUUUCGUCUACAGAUAUUGGGUCCUUCCCCAUUCAAAGUGCUACAGUACCUAUUGCAAGUGUCUAUCACGUGUCUAAGAUACCGUGAGCAGCAGUCUUGCUCCAUGGAACCUGGUAAAGGGAGCAGCUUCCAUCCAGGACAUCCCGAGUCUCGUGGUACAGGUGAAGAAUAUGAAGAGAGAAAAGAAGAUCCCCAAAGGGAAGGCCAUUUUUGGAACUGUUUCUUGUCUUCACAAUAGAAGAUCUUUGGGAAGACAGUCAGAAUUACCAUUGGGAGUCAGUUUUAUCCUCUGCACUUUUCUCUUUAAUUUUUAUUUGUGCAAUACUCUGCUUCAGUUGCCUCAGUUUUCAUGGAUUGUUCAAGACUUAAAUCAGGAAAGAUGGAACAGACAGGUUCAAAGCAGUAGCUCGAAUGCAGAAGAAGCAGGGCUCCCUCCAAGUACCAGAACUGUGGUUGAAAGUGAGCAUUUGGUCCCAGCCACGAGGCACAUGCCAAGAUAUCACACCAGAUGGGACAGAAGUCCCUAGAACUCAACUUAAUAGACUUUCCCAGUUUGGGACCUGUGAGUGGGACCUGGACACGAGGAAUAUUGAGAUGUCAGUAGGAGAAUCAAGGAAGCUAUUGCACCGAUGACUUCAGAAUGCAUCG